AGCCCUCGCUUUUCUGUACCGUAAGGUGGUACAGGAACAAGGACUGGGCAAGACCGGUGCCAGCCGCCGCGGUAAUACCGGCAGUCCAAGUGAUGGCCGAUAUUAUUGGGCCUAAAGCGUCCGUAGCUUGCUGUGUAAGUCCAUUGGGAAAUCGACCAGCUCAACUGGUCGGCGUCCGGUGGAAACUACACAGCUUGGGGCCGAGAGACUCAACGGGUACGUCCGGGGUAGGAGUGAAAUCCUGUAAUCCUGGACGGACCACCAAUGGGGAAACCACGUUGAGAGACCGGACCCGACAGUGAGGGACGAAAGCCAGGGUCUCGAACCGGAUUAGAUACCCGGGUAGUCCUGGCUGUAAACAAUGCUCGCUAGGUAUGUCACGCGCCAUGAGCACGUGAUGUGCCGUAGUGAAGACGAUAAGCGAGCCGCCUGGGAAGUACGUCCGCAAGGAUGAAACUUAAAGGAAUUGGCGGGGGAGCACCACAACCGGAGGAGCCUGCGGUUUAAUUGGACUCAACGCCGGACAUCUCACCGGUCCCGACAGUAGUAAUGACAGUCAGGUUGACGACUU
rnacentral:rRNA from 1 species